rnacentral:rRNA from 1 species
GGUAAUCUUGUGAAAUUUCAUCGUGAUGGGGAUAGAUUAUUGCAAUUAUUAAUCUUCAACGAGGAAUUCCUAGUAAGCGCGAGUCAUCAGCUCGCGUUGAUUACGUCCCUGCCCUUUGUACACACCGCCCGUCGCUCCUACCGAUUGAAUGAUCCGGUGAAGUUUUCGGAUUGCGGCUACUCCGGCGGUCCGCCGCCGAAGAAGCUGUGAGAAGUUCAUUAAACCUUAUCAUUUAGAGGAAGGAGAAGUCGUAACAAGGUUUCCGUAGGUGAACCUGCGGAAGGAUCA